rnacentral:rRNA from 1 species
CUUGGUCAUUUAGAGGAAGUAAAAGUCGUAACAAGGUCUCCGUUGGUGAACCAGCGGAGGGAUCAUUACCGAGUUUACAACUCCCAAACCCAAUGUGAACGUUACCAAACUGUUGCCUCGGCGGGAUCUCUGCCCCGGGUGCGUCGCAGCCCCGGACCAAGGCGCCCGCCGGAGGACCAACCUAAAACUCUUAUUGUAUACCCCCUCGCGGGUUUUUUUUAUAAUCUGAGCCUUCUCGGCGCCUCUCGUAGGCGUUUCGAAAAUGAAUCAAAACUUUCAACAACGGAUCUCUUGGUUCUGGCAUCGAUGAAGAACGCAGCGAAAUGCGAUAAGUAAUGUGAAUUGCAGAAUUCAGUGAAUCAUCGAAUCUUUGAACGCACAUUGCGCCCGCCAGUAUUCUGGCGGGCAUGCCUGUCCGAGCGUCAUUUCAACCCUCGAACCCCUCCGGGGGGUCGGCGUUGGGGAUCGGCCCUCCCUUAGCGGGUGGCCGUCUCCGAAAUACAGUGGCGGUCUCGCCGCAGCCUCUCCUGCGCAGUAGUUUGCACACUCGCAUCGGGAGCGCGGCGCGUCCACAGCCGUUAAACACCCAACUUCUGAAAUGUUGACCUCGGAUCAGGUAGGAAUACCCGCUGAACUUAAGCAUAUCAAUAAGCGGAGGA